rnacentral:misc_RNA from 1 species
CAAGGGCCAACAAGUAUUCCUCCCAGACGACAAAAAUUCUUUCUUUCACCCUCCUACGAUUCCAGAUCCAAUCUCUCUCUUUCUCUUAAAAAAGGAAGAACCCCAGUGCGGUUGUCUGUGGCGGUGGUGGUGGUUGUUGUUGUGGAUGGCAAGGACCAACAAGUAUUCCUCCGUUAACUUUAACCAUAUCUAUGACAGAAACUUAACCAACAACGCUACUCCUAAUACCGCAAACAACACAUCAAAACAGCCUUCCUCUUCUUCUUCGUCCUCGUCGUCUUCUUCUGCUCUUUAUUCUGCUAUAUCUUCUCCCAAUACUUACAAAAACCAUCUUUCUUCUUCCCGCUCCCAUGGCCGUAUGCUGGUUCUGACCCGUCCUACUCCCAAACCCGUUUCAGCUAUUGCCACCCAGUCCUCUCUUUCACCUUCUUCGCAAAUACCAUCGACCCAACAACCUCGAGCGCCUAUUUCGGAUCAAGCGCCUUCUGAACCGGAAUCGGACCUGAUUUCUCUCCGUCCCUUGGGUCGGACAGGGGCCGCUCCGUUUGUUUCUUCUUCGGUAUUGGUACCGGAGAAAGAGAAGGAGGUGGGGCCCUUGGUAGGAUCGCCAAAGCCAGACAAGUUCGUGCCACCGCAUCUCAGACCGGGUUUUGUGGGGAGGGAGGAGAGGCCUGGGCCGGAGGUUUUUAGGGGGAAGGAGGCGAAUCAGAGGCCGCCGCAGCAGCAACAAGAUUAUUUUGUGUCUAAGGGUGAGUAUGGGGUUGAUGGAAGGCCUAAAUCUGGUGGUUAUGAGAGGAUGAUGGGAGGUGGCGAGUCAGAUCUGGGUUUGAUGAAUCGUCCCAGAUCUAGUGGGAACCGCCCCAGUUCAAGUGGAUGGUAUGGUUCUUGCCAAUCUAAUCCAAUUCAUUUAUGCUUUAGAUUUGAUCAAUUUUUGUUAGUUUAUGUUACUGUGUCUAGUUUACUUGAAGCUUAUAGUGUAGGUCUUAUUAUUUUGUUCAUGCUAUUCUAGUAUUCUAUUCUCUAUUCUUAAUUUUUGAUGAUUCAUCUUUUCUGGGAUUUUUAUUUGAUGAGCAUUAUUAUUUGCAGCCUUUCUAAUAAGAUUUUUUAUUUGUUAGUGGCAAUUAUCACAAAUAUGUAGGGUCAAUAUUAGAAAAGGGGGAAAAAGGGUAAGCUAUUUAUGUCUGGAGUAGCUUAUGAAGCUUAAGUUGUUGGUAUAAAAAAGUGUCCACAUCUCAAUCAUUGAUGUCUGGAAACAAUUUUGGGGAAGAUGCUCAAUCUUGCAAAACCACUUCAUUUCUGUUUUAUUCCUCCAUGUGUUCUGCUGCCUCUAAAAUUUUGCAAAAUCUUUGAAGGCCUAUUGUUGUUGAAAGCUUCUUAAGGCCUCUCCCCUAUUUAAACAAAUAUAUCUGCGCAUGCACACAUAUUGCAUUUGAAAGUGGAUUGAUGGCUAUGGGAGUUUGCCUAGUGACAUGGAGAUGUUAAAUUAAAGUUGGCACAUUUGAAAAUUUUAUGAGGAAGUGUGGCUUUUUAUCUUGGGAUUGUGACAUCUUGUUUAGGUCUUACACAAGACAAUAAAUAUUUUAAUGAGGGUAGCAAUUACCAGAGCUGUUUGAGGUUUUUGUUUGUGGUGGAUGGUGCCUUGGAUUAACCGACUAACAAGAGAAAAUGGAUUGCACUUAACAUUAACUGUCUUUCUGCAUUGUGUUCUUUGUGCUAUUUGCAUUUGGUUGUAACGUUCCAGAGUAUGCUGUUAUUGCCCACAACCACAAGAUCAAUUGCUAAUAGUUUUUAGAUUAUAAUUUGGUUUUUGUACAAGGCAUUACUUAUAAGAUGAAAAUUGCCUUGAGUUUCAAUGAGAAAUGGUUCAGAUUGUAUACAGGGGUUGGCUGUUUUAGACUUGCAGUUGAAAUUUUGAGGAAUUUCUCAAGUCUGUUGACCUUUUGAGCAAUGUUCUAGUGGCCGUAGUAUAUUAUCAUCUGGUUGUAAUAAUUCAAGUAAGUUAUUAUCCUUGAUAUUGAGUUAUUUGGUGAUUGAGUGUAUUAUGCUGGAGAGAGAUAGGCUGAAGGGUAGUUAUACAAACCUGCAAUUAGAGUAGUUACUCUAGAGUUGGAAGCUGGUAAUUAACAGAUAAUGUCCAUUAAAUGAGCUUAGCUGAAAUUAAAAAGGUUAAGAUAGCUGUGCGGGAAUAAGAAAAUAUAGAUAAGAAAAGAAUGUAUCUUAAGAAGAUGGAAGAGGCACCCAUUGAGUGUAAGUUGAGGAUGAUUUGGUUGAGAAGGUCUUUUUUUUUAUUUUUUUAUUUUUU